rnacentral:rRNA from 1 species
GACGAACGCUGGCGGCGUGCUUAACACAUGCAAGUCGAGCGGAAAGGCCCUUUCGGGGGUACUCGAGCGGCGAACGGGUGAGUAACACGUGAGUAAUCUGCCCCUGGCUUUGGGAUAGCCACCGGAAACGGUGAUUAAUACCGGAUACGACCACUUCUCGCAUGGGAUGGUGGUGGAAAGUUUUUCGGCCAGGGAUGUGCUCGCGGCCUAUCAGCUUGAUGGUGAGGUAAUGGCUCACCAUUGGUUCGACGGGUAGCCGGCCUGAGAGGGUGACCGGUCACAAGGGGACUGAGACACGGCCCAGACUCCUACGGGAGGCAGCAGUGGGGAAUAUUGGACAAUGGGCAGAAGCCUGAUCCAGCAACGCCGCGUGAGGGAUGACGGCCUUCGGGUUGUAAACCUCUUUCAGCAGGGACGAAGCGCAAGUGACGGUACCUGCAGAAGAAGCACCGGCCAACUACGUGCCAGCCGCCGCCGUAA